UCUGGGCUCCACUACCAGCCAAGCGAGGUGAACUAAGCAGGCCGACCUGAGUACCGAGUCACCGUGGUGACGUGAUCUCGCAAGCUAAGGCAGGCCAACUUGAGCAGCAAGGUGUACCGUGGUGAGACGUCUAUCCGGGGGAGGACUUCGCUGCGACUCGGCGACAAAUAGAAUUAUAAUUUAUUUUUAUUUCUUUUUUUUUUAUCUGUACAUCUAAUUACAUCGAAUAUAUUUAUUUUGUUUUAA